rnacentral:tRNA from 1 species
GGCUCGGUAGCUUAGUUUGAAAAGCACUCGUCUAGCGUACAAGAGUUGUGGUUUCGAGUCCCACCUUAGCAA